AAGUCGUAACAAGGUUUCCGUAGGUGAACCUGCGGAAGGAUCAUUAGUGAAUAAACAAGUGCAGGUUGUGCUGGCCUUCUUGGGUAUGUGCACGCCUGCCAGCUUCAUUCCAUCUUCCCACCUGUGCACUCUGUGUAGAUUCUGUAUGCUAUUGUCAAGCCUUUAUUAUGCUUGGUUGAGAGGAGUUGCUUGUUUCACCAACAAGCUCUUCUUGGGCAUGCAGGUCUAUGUUUAUAUCAACACCAUAUGAAUGUUUUAGAAUGUGCUUUAGGCUUUUUGGCCUUUAAAUUAUAUACAACUUUCAACAACGGAUCUCUUGGCUCUC
rnacentral:misc_RNA from 1 species